GACGAAGGUGGCAAGCGUUGCUCGGAUUUACUGGGCGUAAAGGGUGCGUAGGCGGGGAUGCAAGUCAUAUGUGAAAUCCCGGAGCUCAACUCCGGAUCCGCAUCUGAAACUGCAUCUCUUGAGGGUAUGCGGAGAAAGGGGAAUUCCACGUGUAGCGGUGAAAUGCGUAGAUAUGUGGAGGAACACCAGUGGCGAAGGCGCCUUUCUAGCUUAUUCCUGACGCUGAUGCACGAAAGCAGGGGGAGCAAACAGG
rnacentral:misc_RNA from 1 species